GGUUAAGCGACUAAGCGUACACGGUGGAUGCCCUGGCAGUCAGAGGCGAUGAAGGACGUGCUAAUCUGCGAAAAGCGUCGGUAAGGUGAUAUGAACCGUUAUAACCGGCGAUGUCCGAAUGGGGAAACCCAGUGCAAUUCGUUGCACUAUCGUUAACUGAAUACAUAGGUUAACGAGGCGAACCGGGGGAACUGAAACAUCUAAGUACCCCGAGGAAAAGAAAUCAACCGAGAUUCCCCCAGUAGCGGCGAGCGAACGGGGAGCAGCCCAGAGUCUGAAUCAGCUUGUGUGUUAGUGGAACGGUCUGGAAAGUCCGACGGUACAGGGUGAUAGUCCCGUACACCAAAAUGCACAGGUUGUGAACUCGAAGAGUAGGGCGGGACACGUGGUAUCCUGUCUGAAUAUGGGGGGACCAUCCUCCAAGGCUAAAUACUCCUGACUGACCGAUAGUGAACCAGUACCGUGAGGGAAAGGCGAAAAGAACCCCGGCGAGGGAGUGAAAAAGAACCUGAAACCGUGUACGUACAAGCAGUGGGAGCACCUUCGGGUGUGACUGCGUACCUUUUGUAUAAUGGGUCAGCGACUUAUAUUCUGUAGCAAGGUUAACCGUAUAGGGGAGCCGCAGGGAAACCGAGUCUUAACUGGGCGUUAAGUUGCAGGGUAUAGACCCGAAACCCGGUGAUCUAGCCAUGGGCAGGUUGAAGGUUGGGUAACACUAACUGGAGGACCGAACCGACUAAUGUUGAAAAAUUAGCGGAUGACUUGUGGCUGGGGGUGAAAGGCCAAUCAAACCGGGAGAUAGCUGGUUCUCCCCGAAAGCUAUUUAGGUAGCGCCUCGUGAACUCAUCUUCGGGGGUAGAGCACUGUUUCGGCUAGGGGGUCAUCCCGACUUACCAACCCGAUGCAAACUACGAAUACCGAAGAAUGUUAUCACGGGAGACACACGGCGGGUGCUAACGUCCGUCGUGAAGAGGGAAACAACCCAGACCGCCAGCUAAGGUCCCAAAGUCAUGGUUAAGUGGGAAACGAUGUGGGAAGGCACAGACAGCCAGGAUGUUGGCUUAGAAGCAGCCAUCAUUUAAAGAAAGCGUAAUAGCUCACUGGUCGAGUCGGCCUGCGCGGAAGAUGUAACGGGGCUAAACCAUGCACCGAAGCUGCGGCAGCGACACUAUGUGUUGUUGGGUAGGGGAGCGUUCUGUAAGCCUGCGAAGGUGUGCUGUGAGGCAUGCUGGAGGUAUCAGAAGUGCGAAUGCUGACAUAAGUAACGAUAAAGCGGGUGAAAAGCCCGCUCGCCGGAAGACCAAGGGUUCCUGUCCAACGUUAAUCGGGGCAGGGUGAGUCGACCCCUAAGGCGAGGCCGAAAGGCGUAGUCGAUGGGAAACAGGUUAAUAUUCCUGUACUUGGUGUUACUGCGAAGGGGGACGGAGAAGGCUAUGUUAGCCGGGCGACGGUUGUCCCGGUUUAAGCAUGUAGGCUGGUUGUCCAGGCAAAUCCGGAUAAUCAAGGCUGAGGUGUGAUGACGAGGCACUACGGUGCUGAAGUAACAAAUGCCCUGCUUCCAGGAAAAGCCUCUAAGCAUCAGGUAACAUCAAAUCGUACCCCAAACCGACACAGGUGGUCAGGUAGAGAAUACCAAGGCGCUUGAGAGAACUCGGGUGAAGGAACUAGGCAAAAUGGUGCCGUAACUUCGGGAGAAGGCACGCUGGUGUGUAGGUGAAGCCCCUGCGGGUGGAGCUGAGACCAGUCGAAGAUACCAGCUGGCUGCAACUGUUUAUUAAAAACACAGCACUGUGCAAACACGAAAGUGGACGUAUACGGUGUGACGCCUGCCCGGUGCCGGAAGGUUAAUUGAUGGGGUUAUCCGUAAGGAGAAGCUCUUGAUCGAAGCCCCGGUAAACGGCGGCCGUAACUAUAACGGUCCUAAGGUAGCGAAAUUCCUUGUCGGGUAAGUUCCGACCUGCACGAAUGGCGUAAUGAUGGCCAGGCUGUCUCCACCCGAGACUCAGUGAAAUUGAACUCGCUGUGAAGAUGCAGUGUACCCGCGGCAAGACGGAAAGACCCCGUGAACCUUUACUAUAGCUUGACACUGAACAUUGAGCCUUGAUGUGUAGGAUAGGUGGGAGGCUUUGAAGCGUGGACGCCAGUCUGCGUGGAGCCAACCUUGAAAUACCACCCUUUAAUGUUUGAUGUUCUAACGUUGGCCCCUUACCGGGGUUGCGGACAGUGUCUGGUGGGUAGUUUGACUGGGGCGGUCUCCUCCCAAAGCGUAACGGAGGAGCACGAAGGUUAGCUAAUCCUGGUCGGACAUCAGGAGGUUAGUGCAAUGGCAUAAGCUAGCUUGACUGCGAGCGUGACGGCGCGAGCAGGUGCGAAAGCAGGUCAUAGUGAUCCGGUGGUUCUGAAUGGAAGGGCCAUCGCUCAACGGAUAAAAGGUACUCCGGGGAUAACAGGCUGAUACCGCCCAAGAGUUCAUAUCGACGGCGGUGUUUGGCACCUCGAUGUCGGCUCAUCACAUCCUGGGGCUGAAGUAGGUCCCAAGGGUAUGGCUGUUCGCCAUUUAAAGUGGUACGCGAGCUGGGUUUAGAACGUCGUGAGACAGUUCGGUCCCUAUCUGCCGUGGGCGCUGGAGAAUUGAGGGGGGCUGCUCCUAGUACGAGAGGACCGGAGUGGACGCAUCACUGGUGUUCGGGUUGUCAUGCCAAUGGCACUGCCCGGUAGCUAAAUGCGGAAGAGAUAAGUGCUGAAAGCAUCUAAGCACGAAACUUGCCCCGAGAUGAGUUCUCCCUGAGACUUUAAGUCUCCUGAAGGAACGUUGAAGACGACGACGUUGAUAGGCCGGGUGUGUAAGCGCAGCGAUGCGUUGAGCUAACCGGUACUAAUGAACCGUGAGGCUUAACCUU
rnacentral:rRNA from 1 species